rnacentral:rRNA from 1 species
CAGAGGUCCCGAGCGUUGUUCGGAUUCACUGGGCGUAAAGGGUGCGUAGGUGGCGAGGUAAGUCGGAUGUGAAAGCCCGGAGCUCAACUCCGAAAUGGCAUUGGAAACUACCUUGCUCGAGGGUUGAGGGGGGACUGGAAUACUUGGUGUAGCAGUGAAAUGCGUAGAUAUCAAGUGGAACACCAGUGGCAAAGGCGAGUCCCUGGACAACUCCUGACACUGAGGCACGAAAGCUAGGGGAGCAAACAGGAUUAGAUACCCUGGUAGUCCUAGCCGUAAACGGUGCAUGUUUGCUGUAAAAGGAUUCGACCCCUUUUGUGGCGUAGCCAACGCGUUAAACAUGCCGCCUGGGAAGUACGGUCGCAAGAUUA